AUCGUCUCCGUCUCGUUCUCUCUCUUCUUUCACUCUUGUCUCCGAUCGCGAGACCGAAACCCUAGAUAUUGUUAUCCAUCGGAAACUCCUCUACUAUCGUUUGUAUCGAAUUCUUUUUUGUCGCAGAGUUUUCGGGAUGAUCUUGGGAUGGCUAGGAUGAGGAGGUUUCUUUUAAUUUCUUUUGAAAUGGUCAACAAAAUAGACGUCUUUGGUGAUGUAUGGAUAUGAUUGGAUGUUCUUCGCCAUGCAGUUGGCUUUUAAUGGCAUUCAAGUGGAAGAGACUUUAGAAAUUGAACCCGUUCUGCAUCAAUCAACUACUACAGAUGAUUUCGAAGUGCUUCAAUCUCUUUCUGAAAUCAGAUUGGUUGGGGAGGACGAUGAUCCUCAAGGACUUGAUGCUGAUGAGCAUACCAAUUUGGUGAAUGCAGACUUACCACAAUGCCGAAUUUGCCUUGAUACUGAAGGGGAUGAUUUAAUUGCACCCUGUCAUUGUAAGGGCACGCAGAAGUAUGUGCAUCGAUCCUGUCUUGAUAAUUGGAGAUCAACCAAAGAAGGUUUUGCAUUUGCCCAUUGUACAGAGUGCAGGGCUGUGUUCAUAUUGCGCGCAAAUGUGCCACCUGAUCGCUGGUGGUUGAGGCUGAAAUUUCAGUUCCUUGUUGUGAGGGACCAUGCUCUCAUCUUUAUUAUUGUGCAGCUGGUUGUUGCUUUUCUAGGUAUGCUGGUCUACAGAUUUUACGGUGAGGAGCUGCGGGAAAUGUUCGGUUAUGAGCAACACCCAUACGGAUUUUAUUCAAUGGCUAUAUUGGCCGUUGUUUUGGUGGGCCUACUCUAUGGAUUCUUCAUAGCCAUUAUUUGCGGGCAGAGAAUAAAUGAACGCCAUUACCAUGUUCUUGCAAAGCAAGAAUUGACAAAGGUCCGGAAUAUGUGGUGGAAAAUAGAGAUGACAAUAAGGAUCCACCACAGCUUGGUCCCAGUCAUGUGACAGAGUUGAGAAUGCUCGGUCUUUAUUAAGCCAUACCUCAUCGGAUUGAAGCGCAUUCUCUGCUGAAAAGAACGCCGCUUAUUUGAGCCUUAAGAUACAAGAAGACAUGGGAGGAGUGGCGUGACAACAUCAGAUGCAACGCGCACACACUAGUUGAAACCUAUAAUCUGGUUGUAUCUGUGUACACAAAUCAGACUGCAAGGUGUUUGGUUCCUGAGUGCCAAGUCCUCUCAAUGUCGUUCUUGUUAUAUGAUUGUGUUUGCUUUUGAUUCUUUAGCAUCUCACCAGGCUCUAGGAAAUGAAAGACUCCAGAAAAGUUGCAUAUUAUUUCAUUUUCCCAGCAGAGAAGCAAGAGCAAUGUAAAGUUGAUGUCAUGCCAAUGUAUCAUUGCCUAGUUUCUUGUAAAUAAAGAGAGGGUUAUUGAACCAUUAUGAUUUCUAUUUCGGUUCCUUGUUUUA